CCCUUAGAUGUUCUGGGCCGCACACGCGCUACACUGAAGGAGGCAGCGUGUACUCCUGGAUCGAAAGAUUUGGGUAACCCGCGAAUCUCCUUCGUGCUAGGGAUUGAGGUUUGCAAUUAUCCUUCAUGAACGAGGAAUUCCCAGUAAGUGCAAGUCAUAAGCUUGCGCUGACUACGUCCCUGCCCUUUGUACACACCGCCCGUCGCUACUACCGAUUGAAUGAUUUAGUGAGGACUUCGGACUGGGACCGAUGCGGCUUUCGGGCUGCGUCGGUAUUCCGGAAAGAUGUCCAAACUGUAUCAUUUAGAGGAAGUAAAAGUCGUANCA
rnacentral:rRNA from 1 species